CCAGCUAUACUUGGCCUUAUUACUCUUCUAGCUAUUCAUACAACCUAUGGUGAGAAAUACGGAUCUUCCAGAAAUUAUGCGCAAAUCAGCAGUUAUACCCCUUGCGAAUAUGGAUCUUAUGUCCCAUCUACUUACAAGGUUUGGGAUGGAGUUCAAUCUUAUGGGUAUCAGAACCCUCUUAAGAAUGGAUUUUCCAAUACUUACCCCCAGAUUGCCGCCAUUGCUGCCUAAGUGACAAAUGACUCCGACCAUGCUCAAGAACUGUUAUUUAAAUGUAUUAAUGUUAACGUUGCCUCAAUAAAUGGUUAUAAUAUUGAAUUUA
rnacentral:lncRNA from 1 species